AUACGUAGGGGACGAGCGUUGUCCGGAAUUACUGGGCGUAAAGGGCGCGCAGGCGGAUAUUUAAGUCAGCUGUAAAAGGCAUGAGCUCAACUCAUGUAUGCGGUUGAAACUGGGUAUCUAGAGUGCUGGAGAGGUAGGCGGAAUUCCCGGUGUAGCGGUGAAAUGCGUAGAUAUCGGGAAGAACACCAGUGGCGAAGGCGGCUUACUGGCCAGCAACUGACGCUGAGGCGCGAAAGCCAGGGGAGCGAACGGGAUUAGAUACCCCGGUAGUCCUUGCCGUAAACGAUGAAUGCUAGGUGUGGGUGUCGAGAGGCAUCCGUGCCGGAGUUAACGCGAUAAGCAUUCCGCCUGGGGAGUACGAUCGCAAGAUUGAAACUCAAAGGAAUUGACGGGG
rnacentral:rRNA from 1 species